UGGUGGUUGUUGGUCCGACUUCCACCUAAGAGGAGACUGCACACCAUGGAAUCCAAGUCAGAAAUGCUAAACUCCAGCUUGAUAUAGGGGCCAAAAUAGACCCUAAUUUUUAUAGCGACUAAGACAUGAAGUCAUUUGGGAAACCGAUUUCAGUACACACCCCGAAAAUGACUUUAGAUCUUCGUUUAGAGAAUAAUCUGUAUUUUUGUUUUAUCUCUCUUUAAUGCUACACUUUAUGCUCCUUUUGGAUAGUUAUUCUUAGGUGUAGGUUUAGGCACUGAAUUUUACAACGACUAUUAUACUAGAGCUGCUCGCUGCUCAUGCUAAGGCUUUUACACAUUUACGAAGUCUAUGUUAUAACAAGAGUCCUUAUAGAUGUUUGAAAUUAUCAUAGACAAUAUGAGUGACUUUGAUUUUAACUACCUGUUCAAGUUUCCCAAAAAGUAUUUAAGUACUUUCCCACUGUGUUUCCCAGACUACGUACGUCUUGCAAGUUCAGUAGGGUUGAAUUCAGAUAAAAUAAAUGGAGUUUAUAAAAACUCAAAUCACUUAAUACAUUAUCUUAAAAAUACAUGCAGAAUUUUUUAUUUUUAUUUCUGACAGUUGCUUCUAUACUGAAUUAUCAUAAUAUAACGAUUAUUUUUUUAUGAGAAAAAGGAAACCAAAGGCAUUCGAGCAUUUUUGAGUAGUUUCAUAACUGCUUUUUGUUUUGCUUAACUUGCAUCAUUUUGGCUUCUUCACAGACUGAACGCUAAGGUCCUAUGUUGUGCUAAUUCAGAGUUUACAUCUUCUUUUACGACCCUUAGUUGCACAAACUUCCACACAAUUGAUUCGAAUUCUGAAUCCUUAUUCGAUUUGUUGCUUGAAGCUACUUUCGUCUGUAAAAAGUUGUGUAUUAUUAUACUAACAAUGGACCUCAAAUCCUUUACAGCUUCAAAACUACUAUUCGUCACUGAGUCAUGAGCAAAUUUCGUUAAAAAACUACGGGUAUUUAUUAUCUCAGAAGAAAUAGUUUACGAAUUCAUGAAGUAGAUCAGCUUUAUGAGUUACCGCGGUUAAUAAGUUAAAGGAUUAGCACUUAAGAAAAAUCAAAGAGAAAAUGAGCAUUAAUUUAUGUAAGAAAAUAAUCAGAAAUGAUCAAUUGUGAUGGUUUGAGCAAUAACAAGUGAAGGUUGUAAAUUCAGUAAACAAACAAUAG
rnacentral:lncRNA from 1 species